GCCGUUACUAGAUAUUCUACAUUACAUGUGACCAGGGCCGUGCACAGGGGGGUGGCCCGGUGGCCAGAGCCACUGCCCCUCUGCCCUCAUCGACUGAGGUGCCCCUUCCCCAACGCUCCGCUCAAAGCAUUCCGUUGAUUCCGCGAAUCCGCUCCAGGUUUUCCCGCUCGCUCCGCACUCCGCAGCAUCACUCACAGUAUGUGUCUGCGGCGCUUGUGAACACGACAUUUCACGAAAGCUGUCACAUUAACAGACAAGACAACCAUAAAAAAAAAAAAAAAAAAAAAAACAAUGCCUUCACAAAAAAGAAGACAGAGACAGAGAGAGAAAGAGAGAAGGGAGGCUGCUAAAGGCAGUUCAACGUUGCAAACAUGGAUUCAAAGCUCCAGCAAGCCAGCAGAUGAGGCAGAGGCAGGCUCAGAGAGUGAGGGAGAGCCCAUUCAGCAUCAGCCAAAUCAGACACUUACAGGAGCAAGCUGGCAGACGUGAUGCAUGAUUGGUAUGGGUGGAUGACCCAAUAGUAUGUUCCUGCACAACCGGAGACUGCAGAUUCAGGACCGCAGAUCUGGACCGCAGUUCUAGGACCCUAGUUUUUCC